rnacentral:rRNA from 1 species
AGGACGAACGCUGGCGGCGUGCUUAACACAUGCAAGUCGAGCGAGGCCUCCUCUUCGGGGGAGUGUUCUAGCGGCGAACGGGUGAGUAACACGUGGGCAACCUGCCCUCAGCUCUGGGAUAACUCCAAGAAAUUGGGGCUAAUACCGGAUAUGACUGCUGACCGCAUGGUCUGGUGGUGGAAAGAUUUAUCGGCUGGGGAUGGGCCCGCGGCCUAUCAGCUUGUUGGUGGGGUAGUGGCCUACCAAGGCGACG